CCUACGGGGCGCAGCAGUGAGGAAUAUUGGUCAAUGGACGAGAGUCUGAACCAGCCAAGUAGCGUGAAGGAUGACUGCCCUAUGGGUUGUAAACUUCUUUUAUAUGGGAAUAAAAUGUUCCACGUGUGGGAUUUUGUAUGUACCAUAUGAAUAAGGAUCGGCUAACUCCGUGCCAGCAGCCGCGGUAAUACGGAGGAUCUGAGCGUUAUCCGGAUUUAUUGGGUUUAAAGGGAGCGUAGGUGGAUUGUUAAGUCAGUUGUGAAAGUUUGCGGCUCAACCGUAAAAUUGCAGUUGAAACUGGCAGUCUUGAGUACAGUAGAGGUGGGCGGAAUUCGUGGUGUAGCGGUGAAAUGCUUAGAUAUCACGAAGAACCCCGAUUGCGAAGGCAGUUCACUGGACUGCAACUGACACUGAGGCUCGAAAGUGUGGGUAUCAAACAGGAUUAGAUACCCCGUAGUC
rnacentral:rRNA from 1 species